UACGUAGGGUGCAAGCGUUAAUCGGAAUUACUGGGCGUAAAGCGUGCGCAGGCGGCUUUGCAAGACAGAUGUGAAAUCCCCGGGCUCAACCUGGGAACUGCAUUGUGACUGCAAGGCUGGAGUACGGCAGAGGGGGAUGGAAUUCCGCGUGUAGCAGUGAAAUGCGUAGAUAUGCGGAGGAACACCGAUGGCGAAAGGCAAUCCCCCUGGGCCUGUACUGACGCUCAUGCACGAAAGCGUGGGGAGCAAACAGG
rnacentral:rRNA from 1 species